rnacentral:rRNA from 1 species
CCCUUAGAUGUUCUGGGCUGCACACGUGCUACACUGGCAGGUUCAGCGAGCUUCAUGCCCUGAUCUGAAAGGAAUGGGAAAUCUUUUCAAAACCUGCCGUGCUUGGGAUAGAUGUUUGCAAUUAUUCAUCUUCAACGAGGAUUGCCUUGUAAACGCACGUCAUCAGCGUGCAUUGAAUACGACCCUGUAUUCUGUACACACCGCCCGUCGCUCCUACCGAUUGAAGUUUUCGGUGAGUUGACAGGAGGAUUUUUUUGAAACUGGUUCGCCAGUGGAUUUUAGAUCCAAAUGCCAACGAAUCGAUGGCUUUAGAGGAAGGAGAAGUCGUAACA